AUGGACAUGAAGGCCCCUGCUCAGCUCCUGGGGCUCCUGCUGCUCUGGCUCCCAAGUGCCAGAUGUGCUAUUCAGAUCACCCAGUCACCAUCCUUGGUGACUGCAAAUGUGGGAGGCACAGUCACCAUCAGUUGCCAGUCAAGUCAGAGUGUUUACGAGAACAAUUAUCUAAACUGGUUUCAGCAGAAACCAGGGCAACCUCCAAAGAUCCUGAUCUAUGAUGCAUCCACUUUAGCAUCUGGGGUCCCUGACAGGUUCAAGGGCAGUGGAUCUGGGAAAUCAUUCACUCUCACCAUCAGCGGGGUGCAAGCUGAGGAUGUCAGAACCUAUUACUGUCAAGGGGGUUAUUAUACUAGUGGCAGUUGGAUUCUACAGUGGUAUAAGCCUGAACAAAAACUGCCCAGGAAAGCAGAAGUAUGA